rfam:Escovopsis weberi scaffold00002, whole genome shotgun sequence.
ACAUACGACCAUAGGUAGUAGAGAACUCGGGGUCCCGUCCGCUCCCCCAUAGAUAAGCUACUAACCGGCAGAUUAGUAGUUGGGUGGGUGACCACCAGCGAACACCGGCUGUUGUAUGUU